ensembl:lncRNA
UGGGGAACUUUGCAGAGCAACUCUAGCUAAAAUAAUACUGUUCAACCGAAGACGUGGAGGAGAGGUUGCAAAGAUGCAAUUAAAAGGCUUCCUAGAAAGGGACACAGCUGCCCUACAUAUUGAAGUUGCUGUUGGAGUCACAAAGUUUGAACAAAAACUUUGUGCACAUUUCAGUCGGGAGGAAAUUAGUGGUAAAAGGGGGCGAAAGGUUGCAGUGUUGCUAUUGUCAGACAUGGUUGAUGCCUUAACAUGCCUCAUAAGCAGAAGAAAAGAGCAUGGAGUCCCAGAAGAAAACAUAUUCCUGAUUGCAAGACCCAACUGUUUGACUCCUUAACGAGGACAAGACUGUCUGAGGAUUUAUGCAAAUGAGUGUGGUGCGCAAAACCCUGAACUUCUCAAGUCAACAGAAUUACACAAACAUGUAGCAACUUUGUCACAGGUCCUAAACCUCAAAAACCACGAGUUGGACCAAGUUGCUGACUUUUUGGGCCACGAUAUUCGUGUCCUCAGAGAGUAUUACAGGCUUCCUGAGGCUACAACCCAGCUGGCCAAAAUAUCCAAACUACUACUUGCCAUGGAGAAAGGUUCACUUACAAAUCUUCAGGGCACAACAUUAGAAGAGACUGAAAUUGAAGAGAACAUAGACUUGACUGAUUCUGAGCAAAGUGAAGACACUGAUGAUGAGGAGACAUAUCCACAGACACCAACAGAAAUGGGAAUGAACAGAGCUAGGCGACCUGUUGAGGAACCUCUAGGCACCCCAGAUGAUGUUGACUCUUCCCUAGGAGGCUCAUCUCAAGGUAAGACAAGAAUAAAAAGUUUUUAACUACUAAUCCAUUUUAAGGGGUACAAAGGUGAAAAUUAAAACUAGUGUUUAG